rnacentral:rRNA from 1 species
CCUACGGGAGGCAGCAGUGGGGCAUAUUGGGCAAUGGGCGCAAGCCUGACCCAGCAACGCCGCGUGAAGGAAGAAGGCUUUCGGGUUGUAAACUUCUUUUAAGGGGGAAGAGCAGAAGACGGUACCCCUUGAAUAAGCCACGGCUAACUACGUGCCAGCAGCCGCGGUAAUACGUAGGUGGCAAGCGUUGUCCGGAUUUUCUGGGUGUAAAGGGCGUGCAGCCGGAGAGACAAGUCAGAUAUGAAAUCCACGGGCUCAACCCGUGAACUGCAUUUGAAACUGUUUCCCUUGAGUGUCGGAGAGGUAAUCGGAAUUCCUUGUGUAGCGGUGAAAUGCGUAGAUAUAAGGAAGAACACCAGUGGCGAAGGCGGAUUACUGGACGAUAACUGACGGUGAGGCGCGAAAGCGUGGGGAGCAAACAGGAUUAGAUACCCGGGUAGUC